rnacentral:tRNA from 4 species
GCGGGCGUCGUAUAGUGGCUAUUACACCAGCCUUCCAAGCUGGGAAGGGCGGUUCGAUUCCGCUCGCCCGCUCCA